rnacentral:tRNA from 1 species
GACCACAUAGCUCAGUUGGCAGAGCAUUGGGCUAGUAUUCCAAAGGUUGUAGGUUCGAUUCCCACCGUGGCCA